GGUCUGAAUAGUGACUCUUUAUAUUUGAAGGUGUACUGUUUAUCUUUUUAAAAAAUACUCCCUCUGGAUUUAAAUGUAUGAUGUUUAAGGUUUUACACACAUAUUAAGAAACAAUAAAUACACUAUUUUAAUUGUUACUUUUUGGUUAUAUCAAUAAAGUUUCACCACUCAUAAUUUUACUUUUUAAUUUAUGUUUAAAUUUAAAAAUAAAUACAUUAAUUAUAUCUCAAAACAUCAUACAUUUGUAUACAAAAUAAAAAGAUAGAACAUCGUACAUUAGUAUCCGGAGGGAGUAAAAG
rnacentral:lncRNA from 1 species